UUGCCUCUGCGGGCGACCAAGUGCCCGCGGGCACCGUGUUGGCUACCCCUGGUUUAGACUGUGACAUGAUGACCUAUACGUGGAUGUUUAGCUUGUCAUAGAGGCACACACACAGUGGACGAGGUGAUUAAGUGACUAAGGCUGUGUGAGUCAAAGCAAAGCAAAGGCAGUUUAUUAUAGUGUGACAGUGACAGUGAAGAAACAUUUACAUUUUACAUUUAAAUCCCGCUCAUGAGCAAUUCAUUUGCAGUCUCGACGCGGGAGAGUGUGGCUGUCUCCUCUCUGCUCUGACUGCAGCUGAGCUGCUGCGGGAGGCAACUGUGAGUCUGAGCGCCUGUGAGUAGACUAUGGGAGGGCAGAGGGGCUCACGGCAGCACCCGCGGCUCGUUAACUGCUGAACAAUAUAGACCAGCGACAGCAGCUCCUUUCUGCACACACUGGUCUCAGGCUGACACCUGGUGUGUACUCCAUUCAAGGCAGAUGUUGUCAUGCAGACCAAAGACCUCUUCCUAUUCCCUUCUAAAGCCUCUAAAAUAAUGAAGCUGUGCUCCAACAUGAUCCAAUACAUGAAGCUUCAGCUGUAUCCUCCACAUUGUUCCUUCUUCUUCUUCUUCUUCUUCUUCUUCUUCUUCUUCUUCUUCUUCUUCUUCUUCUUCUUCUUCUUCUUCUCCUGCUUGAUUUCUUUACACACAGCUUCUGUUUUCAGGCUUGUUUCUGGUUGUGAAAUUCACCCAAACUGUGUCUCUCUUUCCGCUCAGGCUUGAUCUAACAGCAGCUCAGCAGCUCCAGGAGUCCACUGCCUGACGCCUGGAGCUGAAAUCCUCCGUCUGUGUGGAUCAGAGGAGGUUGUUGCUGCCGUGAACGUCUGAGUGGAAGAGCAGAAGACAUGUGGGUGUCCGUGUGCCUCCC